CCUACGGGUGGCAGCAGUGGGGAAUAUUGGACAAUGGGGGCAACCCUGAUCCAGCCAUGCCGCGUGUGUGAAGAAGGCCCUCGGGUUGUAAAGCACUUUCAGUGAGGAAGAACGCCUGGUGGUUAAUACCCAUCAGGAAAGACAUCACUCACAGAAGAAGCACCGGCUAACUCCGUGCCAGCAGCCGCGGUAAUACGGAGGGUGCGAGCGUUAAUCGGAAUUACUGGGCGUAAAGCGCGCGUAGGUGGCUUGAUAAGCCGGUUGUGAAAGCCCCGGGCUCAACCUGGGAACGGCAUCCGGAACUGUCAAGCUAGAGUGCAGGAGAGGAAGGUAGAAUUCCCGGUGUAGCGGUGAAAUGCGUAGAGAUCGGGAGGAAUACCAGUGGCGAAGGCGGCCUUCUGGACUGACACUGACACUGAGGUGCGAAAGCGUGGGUAGCAAACAGGAUUAGAUACCCUGUAGUC
rnacentral:rRNA from 1 species